AUCUACAUGCAUAUGCUUGACUUAUCAGCAAGUGGAAAAAGUUAUACAUUAACCCGUUACUGCUGGGUGACGUGAUAGACGUCAUAGCAAACCGCAUGGUUGGCAGGUUCAGCUUGUACGUGUGACAACAUGCCAGUGUGUGCGGAGCAGGGUGUUCGGCUUAACGCAGCGGACUCCCGCGCCCACUGUCUGGCCACUGCCAGAUAUCACCAGAGCUUAAUUGCUCUUAGGGAUUUCAGACAACCGGGAAUAAUGGGGUAACAUAGUGGGUACAUAGUGAUGAACUGAUUGAUGAAAAUAGAAAAGGUUCUCUACUUAGGUUGCUUACCCACACGUUUUUCUUCUGAAGAAUGUGGAAAUAUAUCGAGAUGGAUGUUUAGUAAAGGCACUGAAUAGCAUUUCUAUUUUCAAAAUAAAAGGGGGGAAAAGACAGAACUGACAUUAUGUAAUUUUUUUUUUUUUCAUACCAGCAUAUGCAUCAUCACUGAUCUUGAUUUGAUAAUGAGGAAAUCAUUAACCAUGUAAUGCCUGAACAUUUCUCAAUUUUGCCCUAAUUUGAAAUAGCCUUUUGACAUUAGAAUAAUUUAUUCAAGAAAAGUAUUAGCAGAUUGUACUGUUGCUUCAUUUGGUUUCAUGUAAGUGAAGUUAAUGAUAUCCAGUAAGGAAGCAAAAGAUGGCCAAAUGUGAUGAUAAUAAGGCUCAAACUACUGAAUCUUGAUGUCAAUUGAGAGCUGAUGAGUGUCAAAUUUACUUUGCAUUGAGUGGGGAUGUCUUGAGAUUCAAUGAAAAUCUUUUGUUCCAGGUUCAUAAUGUUCUGGAGACUGCAUGUACAAGUAAUCAAUUCAUCAAAAUUAGGGGGUUCUACAAGCAUUUACUGAAUUCAUCGAAGAAAAAAAAGAUUGUACUUCAAAGAGCUGCACAAGUAAAGAUGUACUCUCUGCAUACAUCAGAAUUGUCUAUUCUGAUUUGACAUCAAAUGGG